UGUGUUUUAUAUUAUCUUUGAUGCUUGUU
rnacentral:piRNA from 1 species